rnacentral:rRNA from 1 species
UACGGAGGAUGCAAGCGUUAUCCGGAAUGAUUGGGCGUAAAGCGUCCGCAGGUGGCUGUGUAAGUCUGCUGUCAAAGAGCGAAGCUCAACUUCGUAAAGGCAGUGGAAACUACACGGCUAGAGUGCGUUCGGGGCAGAGGGAAUUCCUGGUGUAGCGGUGAAAUGCGCAGAUAUCAGGAGGAACACCGAUGGCGAAGGCAGGUCUCUGGGCCACUACUGACUGAGAAGCGAAAGCAUGGGGGAGCGAACAGG